CCAGAGUCCUACGGGAGGCAGCAGUAGGGAAUCUUCGGCAAUGGACGAAAGUCUGACCGAGCAACGCCGCGUGAGUGAAGAAGGUUUUCGGAUCGUAAGACUCUGUUGGUAGAGAAGAACGUUGGUGAGAGUGGAAAGCUCAUCAAGUGACGGUAACUACCCAGAAAGGGACGGCUAACUACGUGCCAGCAGCCGCGGUAAUACGUAGGUCCCGAGCGUUGUCCGGAUUUAUUGGGCGUAAAGCGAGCGCAGGUGGUUUAUUAAGUCUGGUGUAAAAGGCAGUGGCUCAACCAUUGUAUGCAUUGGAAACUGGUAGACUUGAGUGCAGGAGAGGAGAGUGGAAUUCCAUGUGUAGCGGUGAAGUGCGUAGAUAUAUGGAGGAACACCGGUGGCGAAAGCGGCUCUCUGGCCUGUAACUGACACUGAGGCUCGAAAGCGUGGGGAGCAAACAGGAUUAGAUACCCUGGUGGUCCACGCCGUAAACGAUGAGUGCUAGAUGUAGGGAGCUAUAAGUUCUCUGUAUCGCAGCUAACGCAAUAAGCACUCCGCCUGGGGAGUACGACCGCAAGGUUGAAACUCAAAGGAAUUGACGGGGGCCCGCACAAGAA
rnacentral:rRNA from 1 species